AUUUCAAGAAAGCAAUGGGAAGGUGUUGUGCUGUUCAUGGUUGUCUUAGUGGCCGAAAGGCAAGUGAGAAUGUAGGAAAAGUGGCAUUAUUCAAAGUACCAAAAGACGUUGAAUUGCAUAGUAGAUGGACCUCUGCUCUGGGACAAGAAUUAAAAGCUGAUAGUUUUAUUUGUGAAUUUCACUUUAAUUCAGGAGAUAUAAUUGAAACUGAUUUUCAAAGAUGGCGGUGUAUAUGUGUAUGAAUAUGAAAAAGUUCAUUUGCGGAAGAAAGCUGAGCCAAAAUCACUCAUGACGACAAUGAAAACAAUUGUAGCUUGCUAUCAAAUAAUGAUUUUAAUAAAUAACAUGUUUGAGAAUAA